rnacentral:rRNA from 1 species
GCUUACGGCCGUACCACCCAGAGAACGCCCGAUCUCGUCCGAUCUCGGAAGCUAAGCAGGGUCGGGCCUUGGAUGGGAGACCGCCUGGGAAUACCAGAUGCUGUAAGCU